rnacentral:misc_RNA from 1 species
UUUCCGUAGGUGAACCUGCGGAAGGAUCAUUACUGAGUGAGGGCCCCUCGGGGUCCAACCUCCCACCCGUGUUUAACGAACCUUGUUGCUUCGGCGUGCCCGCCUCACGGCCGCCGGGGGGCGUCUGCCCCCGGGCCCGCGCCCGCCGAAGCCACCUGUGAACGCUGUCUGAAGUAUGCAGUCUGAGACAAUUAUUAAAUUAAUUAAAACUUUCAACAACGGAUCUCUUGGUUCCG